rnacentral:rRNA from 1 species
AUGAACGCUGGCGGCGUGGAUGAGUCAUGCAAGUCAAACGGUCCCGCGGAGCUCGCAAGAGCGGCGUGGGACAGUGGCAGACGAGUUAGUAACACGUAGGUACCUACCCCGAAGUCGGGAAUAAUUCGCCGAAAGGCGGACUAAUACCCGAUAGUCUCGUAAGAGUAAAGGAGCAAUUCACUUCGGGAAGGGCCUGCGGGCUAUCAGCUAGUUGGUAGGGUAACGGCCUACCAAGGCUCUGACGGCUAGGGGACCUGAGAGGGUGACCCCCAACGAUGGGACUGAGAAACGGCCCAUACACCUACGGGUGGCUGCAGACGAGAAUAUUCGACAAUGGGCGCAAGCCUGAUCGAGCGACGCCGCGUGAUGGAUGAAGACCCUCUGGGUCGUAAACAUCUUUUGUGAAGGAGAAAGUCCGCCAUUACGGUGGCGGAUUGAUAGUACUUCAAGAAUAAGGGGUUGCUAAACUCGU